AAUGAACGUUGGCGGCGUGGAUUAGGCAUGCAAGUCGUGCGAGAAUCGUAGCAAUACGAGGAAAGCGGCGAAAGGGAGAGUAAUGCAUGGAUAUCUGCCCUCGGGUCUGGGAUAGCUACGGGAAACUGUAGGUAAUACCAGAUGACAUCUCCGGAUCAAAGGUGUGAUUCCGCCCGAGGAGGAGUCCAUGUCCUAUUAGCUAGUUGGUGAGGUAACGGCCCACCAAGGCUGAGAUGGGUAUGGGGUGUGAGAGCACGACCCCACUCACUGGGGCUGGGAUACUGCCCAGACACCUGCGGGUGGCUGCGGUCGAGAAUCUUCGGCAAUGGGCGCAAGCCUGACCGAGCGACGCCGCGUGCGGGAUGAAGGCCUUCGGGUUGUAAACCGCUGUCAGUGUGGAGGAAAUUCCUAGGGGUAAUCUCCUAGGAUUGACCUAUACGCAGAGGAAGGAUGGGCUAAGUUCGUGCCAGCCGCCGCCGUAA
rnacentral:rRNA from 1 species